rnacentral:lncRNA from 1 species
GGCAGCACACGCGGACCGAGCCUCAGCACCAGCAGGGUGGCGAGUGUGGGGUCCGGAUGCGCAGCGACGGCGGCGGCAGCGGCGGCAGCAACGGCAGCGGCGGCGGCGGCGACAGCCGCCAUUGCUGCAGCCUCGGGGGGGCACUCUGGCGGCGGCGGCUACGGCUUCGGCUUUGGCGGCGGUGGCGGUGGCAGCGGGGCCGGCAGUAGCCGCAGCGGUAGUGGCCGCAUGACCGCUUUGACCAACAGCGGCGGGGGCUCACCCGCGUUGACGGGUACUUUGCGGUACGGCGGAACACAGGUAUGGGGGGCGGGGGGGGUCGUGGUGGUGGUGGUGGUGGUAGUGGUGAUGGUGAGGUUGUUGUGGGAGGUGUGGUGUGAAGGGUUGGGUGUAUGUUGUCCUCGAAUGUCCACCCUCUCUCACCCCGCACCGCACUGCACCUCACCUGGCAGCACCGCACCGCAUACCUGCGUGGUGUGCUCGGCCCCACAGAGUCAGUCGCUCUCCCCCCGCCUUGAAUGUACGGCAGGUUUACAUGGAAAUUGUACGGGUGCUGCUCCAGGGGGGAGCGGAUCCCAACACGCGAGGCUCCAAG